rnacentral:tRNA from 1 species
GGACCCGUAGGUUAGCCAGGAUAGACCACCAGCCUUCUAAGUUGGACAUCGAGGGUUCGAAUCCCCCCGGGUCCGCCA